rnacentral:rRNA from 1 species
ACGGAGGGUGCAAGCGUUAAUCGGAAUCACUGGGCGUAAAGCGCACGUAGGCUGUUGUGUAAGUCAGGGGUGAAAUCCCACGGCUCAACCGUGGAACUGCCCUUGAUACUGCACGACUUGAAUCCGGGAGAGGGUGGCGGAAUUCCAGGUGUAGGAGUGAAAUCCGUAGAUAUCUGGAGGAACAUCAGUGGCGAAGGCGGCCACCUGGACCGGUAUUGACGCUGAGGUGCGAAAGCGUGGGGAGCAAACAG